CCUGGUGGCUCAAAGGUUAAAGCAUCUGCCUGGAAUGCUGGAGACCGGGGUUCAAUCCCUGGGUCAGGA
rnacentral:tRNA from 1 species